AGCAGUAGCCGCGGUAAUACGUAGGUGGCAAGCGUUGUCCGGAAUUAUUGGGCGUAAAGCGCGCGCAGGUGGUUUAAUAAGUCUGAUGUGAAAGCCCACGGCUCAACCGUGGAGGGUCAUUGGAAACUGUUAAACUUGAGUGCAGGAGAGAAAAGUGGAAUUCCUAGUGUAGCGGUGAAAUGCGUAGAGAUUAGGAGGAACACCAGUGGCGAAGGCGGCUUUUUGGCCUGUAACUGACACUGAGGCGCGAAAGCGUGGGGAGCAAACAGGAUUAGAUACCCGGGUAGUCCCUGUCUCUUAUAA
rnacentral:rRNA from 1 species